UACGUAGGGGGCUAGCGUUGUCCGGAAUCAUUGGGCGUAAAGAGCGUGUAGGCGGCCCGGUAAGUCCGCUGUAAAAGUCAAAGGCUCAACCUUUGAAUGUCAGUGGAUACUGCCGGGCUAGAGUCCGGAAGAGGCGAGUGGAACUCCUGGUGUAGCGGUGGAAUGCGCAGAUAUCAGGAAGAACACCAACGGCGAAGGCAGCUCGCUGGGACGGUACUGACGCUGAGGAGCGAAAGCAUGGGGAGCGAACAGG
rnacentral:rRNA from 1 species